GUGCCUACUUUGGCAGCACAUUUACUAAAAUUGAGAUGACACAGAGUAGAUUAGCAUGGCCCCGUACAAGGAUGACAUGCAGAUUUGUGAAGCAUUCCAAAUUUUU